GGAGAACCUGCUUCCUGCCUCUGCCCUCCCUCCAUCCAUGAACAUGCAAGGAACCAGGGGCUUCUCUCAACGGGAUGGAGCACAGCUGGUUUGUGACAGAUUCAGAAGUCAGCACUCAAGAGAAGGUCAGAACAAUGGCCUCUGACCUACUGUGGAUCAAGACAACAGUGUCAGGGGCUCUGUCCUCCCCAACAACCUGCUCUGUUUCAGUGUGGAAGGGGCUUUUCCUUUCCCAAGAAUGCAGCCCCAUCGGAUAUCCCAUUCCCUAA
rnacentral:lncRNA from 1 species